GACGAACGCUGGCGGCGUGCUUAACACAUGCAAGUCGAACGGAAAGGCCUUUUCGGAGGUACUCGAGUGGCGAACGGGUGAGUAACACGUGGGUGAUCUGCCCUGCACUCUGGGAUAAGCCUGGGAAACUGGGUCUAAUACCGGAUAGGACCGCACUUUAGUGUGUGUGGUGGAAAGUUUUUUCGGUGUAGGAUGAGCCCGCGGCCUAUCAGCUUGUUGGUGGGGUAAUGGCCUACCAAGGCGGCGACGGGUAGCCGGACUGAGAGGUUGGUAGGCCACAUUGGGACUGAGAUACGGCCCAGACUCCUACGGGAGGCAGCAGUGGGGAAUAUUGCACAAUGGGCGCAAGCCUGAUGCAGCGACGCCGCGUGGGGGAUGACGGCCUUCGGGUUGUAAACUCCUUUCGCCAGGGACGAAGCGUUUUGUGACGGUACCUGGAGAAGAAGCACCGGCUAACUACGUG
rnacentral:rRNA from 1 species